GGACAUCGAGGACUUGCUGGCAGGGAUCCAAACAGCCCGCUGUGGAUCAACCUUUUUCCGAGACCUUGGCGAUAAAGGGCUAAUUUCGUAUACCGAAUAUCUUUUCCUGCUUACGAUCCUCACUAAACCCCAUUCAGGGUUUCAUGUUGCCUUUAAAAUGCUGGAUGCAGAUGGGAAUGAAAUGAUUGAAAAAAAGGAAUUUUUUAAGG